rnacentral:tRNA from 1 species
GGGGUUGUGGCUCAGUGGUAGAGUACUUGCCCAGCACACGUGAGGCACUGGGUUCAAUCCCCAGCAUCAUUA